UUUGGUCUUAGAAGAGAACUAUGUGGGUGUUUGUUGUACCGAACUGUCUCGAACUAAACUAGUUUCAGGGACUAAGCUGAACUAUCUUAAACUAGACUAAGCUGAACUAGCUUAGUGAAAUGUUUGGUGCAGCGUCGAACUAAGAAGCAGACUAAUUAAUAAAUUAUAAUAUUAUAUUUAUAUCUAUUAAUAUUUUAUCUAUUUUAUUUUUAAUUUAUUUUUUUCUUUUUGGAAUCUCUUCCUUUUUUCUGGAAACAUCCACCAUUUUUCCACCAUUCUCCCUCGUUUUCUCCGGCACAUCGUCUCCCUCUCAUCCUUCUUUUUUCUCCCCUUUUUCUCCCUGUUUUCUUCUUCAACGGAGGAAGCUGUGCAUUUUGCACCUAAUUUGGAUCAAAGACCAACAAGUCUUUCUUCUUGUUCCUCUAACCAGAGAUAGCCCUCUUUUUCACAAAAAUCCCAAAUCAAGGUAAUAGAUUUCUAGGUUUCUGGAGAAGAGCAUUGUGGAUUUCUGGAGGUCUUUCGUUUUUUGCCUACAUAUUUCUGGAGAAGUGCACAGCAACCCAAGCUUAUUGGAAGCUUAAUUGAAUGAAUUCAUCUCUGAAGCAAAGAGGGGGUUGGGUUCACAGGACGGAAUGGGUAGAGUUGUUUCAAAUUUGGUGACUCAAGAAGAGGGAGGAAGGCAUGAUUUGGUAACUGGGUUCGUGGGAAGAAGGAGAUUCGGGAUGCAUGUUUGCAGACGACGUGGGCGCUAGAGACGGGAUUAGCAAUCCGCUAGUUUUCAGGGGGACCAGCUAAGAACAGCUAGUGAAGCUUUUAUUCGGUGCAAGUCCGACUUAAUCUCAUUAAAGGCGGUCUUUGUUUGCACCAAACACGGGCUAGGACUCCUACCUAAGAUAGUCCAGGCUAAUGAGACUUAAAGGGGCCAAACAAACGUGCCCUAUAUGUUUUCCUAUAUAAAGGCUUAUUAGCUCAUAAAUGAUAUAGAGAAGAAGAUAUACAAUCAAUUGUUUCUAUUACUUUGUAAUUUCAGAAUGAUAAGGAGAGGGACCACUGUACUACGCCGAUGACAUAGGCACACUUGCCGAACGUCUUAAAAAUUAUGUCUUAUUUACUCUAUGUUUUACUGCAUACGUAUCCUCAAGUUCACAAUAGAUCUUAAUUG